CGCAAAGAUAACAUGCCAAUCCCUUUUCGCAAGGUUAACAGCAGCUUUCAAUUUGUUAUUAAGGAUUUUCCAAAGAAAAAAUUUGAUCUUGAAAGGGACUUUAAUUCGCCAAAUAUAGCCUGCCACUCUGCCAUCGACACACUAUCAAUAAGAAACCUAGUGCUUCUUUUUAUCCAGAGCCUAUUAUACACAAUCAGCCCUAUUGUCAAUUAAUGCACAAUCAUUUAGCAUAUUCAGC
rnacentral:lncRNA from 1 species